UGGCAGAAGGAGCCUUGGUCUUGGAGGU
rnacentral:piRNA from 1 species